UAGUCCACACCGUAAACGAUGAAUGCUAAGUGUUGGAGGGUUUCCGCCCUUCAGUGCUGCAGCUAACGCAAUAAGCAUUCCGCCUGGGGAGUACGACCGCAAGGUUGAAACUCAAAGGAAUUGACGGGGGCCCGCACAAGCGGUGGAGCAUGUGGUUUAAUUCGAAGCAACGCGAAGAGCCUUACCAGGUCUUGACAUCUUUUGACCAUCUUAGAGAUAAGAUUUUCCCUUCGGGGACAAAAUGAC
rnacentral:rRNA from 1 species